rnacentral:rRNA from 1 species
GAUGAACGCUGGCGGCGUGCCUAAUACAUGCAAGUCGAGCGAACGGACGAGAAGCUUGCUUCUCUGAUGUUAGCGGCGGACGGGUGAGUAACACGUGGAUAACCUACCUAUAAGACUGGGAUAACUUCGGGAAACCGGAGCUAAUACCGGAUAAUAUUUUGAACCGCAUGGUUCAAAAGUGAAAGACGGUCUUGCUGUCACUUAUAGAUGGAUCCGCGCUGCAUUAGCUAGUUGGUAAGGUAACGGCUUACCAAGGCAACGAUGCAUAGCCGACCUGAGAGGGUGAUCGGCCACACUGGAACUGAGACACGGUCCAGACUCCUACGGGAGGCAGCAGUAGGGAAUCUUCCGCAAUGGGCGAAAGCCUGACGGAGCAACGCCGCGUGAGUGAUGAAGGUCUUCGGAUCGUAAAACUCUGUUAUUAGGGAAGAACAUAUGUGUAAGUAACUGUGCACAUCUUGACGGUACCUAAUCAGAAAGCUACGGCUAACUACGU